rnacentral:rRNA from 1 species
GAUGAACGCUGGCGGCGUGCCUAAUACAUGCAAGUCGAGCGAACGGACGAUAAGCUUGCUUCUCUGAUGUUAGCGGCGGACGGGUGAGUAACACGUGGAUAACCUACCUAUAAGACUGGGAUAACUUCGGGAAACCGUAGCUAAUACCGGAUAAUAUUUUGAACCGCAUGGUUCAAAAGUGAAAGACGGUCUUGCUGUCACUUAUAGAUGGAUCCGCGCUGCAUUAGCUAGUUGGUAAGGUAACGGCUUACCAAGGCAACGAUGCAUAGCCGACCUGAGAGGGUGAUCGGCCACACUGGAACUGAGACACGGUCCAGACUCCUACGGGAGGCAGCAGUAGGGAAUAUUCCGCAAUGGGCGAAAGCCUGACGGAGCAACGCCGCGUGAGUGAUGAAGGUCUUCGGAUCGUAAAACUCUGUUAUUAGGGAAGAACAUAUGUGUAAGUAACUGUGCACAUCUUGACGGUACCUAAUCAGAAAGCCACGGCUAACUACGUG